rfam:Picea glauca, whole genome shotgun sequence.
UCAUAUGUACAUUCCUACAACAUUAAUGCAACAGAUCCCAUUAUAAAUCGAUAUUUAAAUUUGCUUGGGCUAGAGUAGUAUUGGGAUAGGUGACCUCUCGGGAAGUUUUGGUGUUUUACAUGCC